rnacentral:tRNA from 1 species
GGAGAGGUGGCAGAGUGGUCUAUCGCGUCCGACUUGAAAUCGGAAGUCGCUGCAAGGCGACCGGAGGUUCAAAUCCUCUCCUCUCCG